UGGGGAAUUUUGGACAAUGGGGGAAACCCUGAUCCAGCCAUCCCGCGUGUGCGAUGAAGGCCUUCGGGUUGUAAAGCACUUUUGGCAGGAAAGAAACGUCAUGGGUUAAUACCCCGUGAAACUGACGGUACCUGCAGAAUAAGCACCGGCUAACUACGUGCCAGCAGCCGCGGUAAUACGUAGGGUGCAAGCGUUAAUCGGAAUUACUGGGCGUAAAGCGUGCGCAGGCGGUUCGGAAAGAAAGAUGUGAAAUCCCAGAGCUCAACUUUGGAACUGCAUUUUUAACUACCGGGCUAGAGUGUGUCAGAGGGAGGUGGGAUUCCGCGUGUAGCAGUGAAAUGCGUAGAUAUGCGGAGGAACACCGAUGGCGAAGGCAGGCUCCUGGGAUAACACUGACGCUCAUGCACGAAAGCGUGGGGAGCAAACAGG
rnacentral:rRNA from 1 species